rnacentral:rRNA from 1 species
AGUGAACGCUGGCGGUAGGCCUAACACAUGCAAGUCGAACGGCAGCACAGUAAGAGCUUGCUCUUACGGGUGGCGAGUGGCGGACGGGUCAGGAAUACAUCGGAAUCUACUUUUUCGUGGGGGAUAACGUAGGGAAACUUACGCUAAUACCGCAUCCGACCUACGGGUGAAAGCAGGGGAACUUCGGACCUUGCGCGAUUGAAUGAGCCGAUGACGGAUUAGCUAGUUGGCGGGGUAAAGGCCCACCAAGGCGCCGAUCCGUAGCUGGUCUGAGAGGAUGGUCAGCCACACUGGAACUGAGACACGGUCCAGACUCCUACGGGAGGCAGCAGUGGGGAAUAUUGGACAAUGGGCGCAAGCCUGAUCCAGCCAUACCGCGUGGGUGGAGAAGGCCUUCGGGUUGUAAAGCCCUUUUGUUGGGAAAGAAAAGCAGCAGGUUAAUACCCCGCUGUUCUGACGGUACCCAAAGAAUAAGCACCGGCUAACUUCGUG